AGGGUGUAUUGGGGAUUGAGAUUUAAGAAAGCUUUAGAAAUAAUUUCAUUGCUUUAAGUAGCCAACAGUAUCACCAUCAGCUUACCAGCAUAUUUUAUGUUGUGAUCAUGAUAAAAAGUAAAACAAAAUAAUGAGUUAAUUUUUUUCUUUCUCUUCUAUUGAAGAACUCUUCCUGGUCUGAUCCCCAAAGCUUUGAGGACAACAGCUGGAACAGAAGCUAAGAUUGCUCACCGGCUGGAAGCUGGGAAGGCAUUCAGGCCAACGUCCAUUCUGAAAAACCCCAGGACAUCGACAAGCUGGCUUUCUAAUGAAACAUCACCAUCCAGCUGUAGCAGCUGGAGGCCAAUGCCUCAUCCUCAGGCUCCGGGACCACUGAGUGGUAGGUUAUCCAAGAGUGGAGAUCCAGCUGUGCAAAGAACCGAGGCUGCAGUUGGGACCUCGAGACCAUUAUCUACAGUGACAAAGUCAGCCCCCAGAGCCUGGGCUUCCUUGCAGGAUAUGGUAUUGUUGGGCUGUACGUGUCUGCUGUCAUGGUUAUUGCUAAGUUCAUCCGGGAACACUUCAAUGACAUCUCCUGAUGCAUCAUGUAUGAGGAGUUCCCCAAUGUGGACCGCAUCCUCAAGCUUUGCACUGACAUUUUCCUGGUCAGGGAAAUGGGUGACCUUGAGCUGGAGAAGCAGCUCUUCUCCAAGCUCAUCUUUUUGUAUUGUUCCCCAGAGAUCAUGAUCAAGUGGACCCGAGAGGCCCAGCCCCCUCCCCAGCAACCUGUGGAUCAGUUAUCUGGGUCCUGGCAAUCAUGCAAGACCACAUGUGGAUACCCUCCCCCAUAUCCACCUGCGUUCCCUGCUGAAGCCUAGCUCUCGGUGCACAAAGAACAAACCCCUCAUGGCUGGUCACCCGGCAGUCUGCCUAGCACUGUGGCCCUGCUGUACUGCUGGCAGGUAGCCCCGGCCAAAGCUGAAGCAAGGAAAGCACUCCUCUGCUGCUGUCACUGUUACUAACAUGGGCAGCAGGCGACGGUGACGUGUAGGAGUGUAAGUCUUUCAAUGGUUUUUGCUGUCAGAGGAAAGUCUGGCUGUUGCUGCAUGUGCCAGUGGAUGGCCUUGGACAGUCUGACAGACCACACAGCCACUGGCAGCAAUCACUCCUCUCCUGGGACACAGACUUGCAGGUCCCCACUCUUGGGCAUGGCAGCUAAUUAGGUGGUCUUGAAAUCUUCUGUACCGUUAUUUAACUCCUCAUGUA
rnacentral:lncRNA from 1 species